AUUCCAUGGUGAGGACAAUCUAAUAUGUAUCCUCGAAAAUGCUCCCAUGCUUCUAGAAUGGUUUCUAUCUUCUACUGUUGGAAACUGACAAUAUUUCUUCUUAAGGU
rfam:Sorghum bicolor cultivar BTx623 chromosome 8, whole genome shotgun sequence.